GACGAACGCUGGCGGCGUGCUUAACACAUGCAAGUCGAACGAAGAGCGACGGAAGCUUGCUUCUAUCAAUCUUAGUGGCGAACGGGUGAGUAACGCGUAAUCAACCUGCCCUUCAGAGGGGGACAACAGUUGGAAACGACUGCUAAUACCGCAUACGAUCUAAUCUCGGCAUCGAGGAUGGAUGAAAGGUGGCCUCUACAUGUAAGCUAUCACUGAAGGAGGGGAUUGCGUCUGAUUAGCUAGUUGGAGGGGUAACGGCCCACCAAGGCGAUGAUCAGUAGCCGGUCUGAGAGGAUGAACGGCCACAUUGGGACUGAGACACGGCCCAGACUCCUACGGGAGGCAGCAGUGGGGAAUCUUCCGCAAUGGACGAAAGUCUGACGGAGCAACGCCGCGUGAGUGAUGACGGCCUUCGGGUUGUAAAGCUCUGUUAAUCGGGACGAAAGGCCUUCUUGCGAAUAGUGAGAAGGAUUGACGGUACCGGAAUAGAAAGCCACAGCUAACUACGUG
rnacentral:rRNA from 1 species